rnacentral:lncRNA from 1 species
AGACAUUGAUGGAUGAGGGCCGAAAGGCCAGGAAAUUCCAGUGGGGUCUCCGCCCGGAGAUCAGACAGCACUUACUGGUAAUGGAGCUCGAGACAUAUUCAGCAGUCCUAGCAAAGGCGCAGAUCAUAGAAAGGAGCUUCGACACCCACCCUCAGCUAGCGGGGAGUUCCCAACCCUCAGCCCCGCUCCGCAGGCCAGCACCUACCGCACCUGUCCAACCCAGUAAGAGGCCCAGACCCGCCAUCCAGG